rnacentral:tRNA from 1 species
GGAGAGAUGGCUGAGUGGCCGAAAGCGGCGGUUUGCUAAACCGUUAUACGGGUAAAACCGUAUCGGGGGUUCGAAUCCCCCUCUCUCCGCCA